rnacentral:rRNA from 1 species
GAUCGAACGGCGUGGCGGCGUGCCUAAUACAUGCAAGUCGAGGCGAACGAGACGAGGAGCUUGCUCCUUUGACGUUAGCGGCGGACGGGUGAGUAACACGUGGGUAACCUACCUAUAAGACUGGGAUAACUUCGGGAAACCGGAGCUAAUACCGGAUAAUAUUUCGAACCGCAUGGUUCGAUAGUGAAGGAUGGCUCUGCUAUCACUUAUAGAUGGACCUGCGCCGUAUUAGCUAGUUGGUAAGGUAACGGCUUACCAAGGCAACGAUACGUAGCCGACCUGAGAGGGUGAUCGGCCACACUGGAACUGAGACACGGUCCAG